rnacentral:rRNA from 1 species
AACGAACGCUGGCGGCAGGCCUAAAACAUGCAAGUCGAACGGGUGUAGCAAUACAUCAGUGGCGCACGGGUGAGUAACGCGUGGGAACGUGCCCUUCAGUACGGGACAACGUCGGGAAACUGACGCUAAUACCGUAUAAUAUCUCCGGAUCAAAGAUUUAUCGCUGAGGGGGCGGCCCGCGUCUGAUUAGCUAGUUGGUGAGGUAAUGGCUGACCAAGGCUACGAUCAGUAGCAGGUCUGAGAGGAUGAUCUGCCACACUGGGACUGAGACACGGCCCAGACUCCUACGGGAGGCAGCAGUUAGGAAUAUUGGACAAUGGGGGAAACCCUGAUCCAGCCAUGCCGCGUGUGUGAUGAAGGCCCUAGGGUUGUAAAGCACUUUCGUUGGGGAUGAUAAUGACCGUACCCAAAGAAGAAGCCACGGCUAAAUUCGUGCCAGCAGCCGCGGUAA